UUUUUAAAGUAUCUACUGUAUUUCAGGCAUUGGAAGCCACACUAUGGAAAGGUGACUGUAACCUUGGGACACUGGAGACCGUGGCCCUGUGAUGGCACCAGGGGAGACACACUGUGCACUAUAUGUUAUGCAACUGAAGUGUCCACAAAAGACUGCAAAACUUUUCCAUGUGACAGGUUAAAGCAUUGAAGAAAGAAAGCUGUUAAAAGAUGGCUACUGUGAGGCCAGAACUUCAAUGUCUGUCU
rnacentral:lncRNA from 1 species